CCACUUCUCUUUAGUUGCUCCUCCUUAUGAGUUUUCACCUUUAAAAGAGUUAGUCAAUAUCUUAUUAUAUGUGGUUAAUUUUGUUGAUUUAAUUUUAUUCGUAUAGGAUUUCAAUGGAUAAUGGAGAUAAAAGUUGGAUGUAUCUCCUAAGAUGGACGGAUGAGUAUAUCCGUGGAGUGAACAAUUUUCCUGAUAAGGCAUUU
rnacentral:lncRNA from 1 species